CGGUGACAGUGCGCAGGGUCCGCCUACUGGUCGCGCGCCGCCGCCUCCGCCGCCGCUUGAGCCCAACAUGGCGAUGCACAACAAGACGGCGCCGCCGCAGAUCCCAGACACCCGGCGGGAGCUGGCCGAGCUGGUUAAGCGGAAGCAGGAGCUGGCGGAAACACUUGCAAACUUGGAGAGACAGAUCUAUGCUUUUGAAGGAAGCUACCUGGAAGACACUCAGAUGUAUGGCAAUAUUAUCCGUGGCUGGGAUCGGUAUUUGACCAAUCAAAAAAACUCCAAUAGCAAAAACGACCGGAGGAACCGGAAGUUCAAGGAGGCUGAGCGGCUCUUCAGCAAAUCCUCAGUCACGUCAGCUGCUGCAGUAAGUGCCUUGGCAGGGGUUCAGGACCAGCUCAUCGAAAAGAGGGAACCAGGAAGUGGGACGGAAAGCGAUACUUCUCCAGACUUCCACAAUCAGGAAAACGAGCCCGCUCAGGAGGACCCCGAAGACCUGGACGGCUCCGUCCAGGGAGUGAAGCCUCAGAAAGCUGCCUCUUCCACCUCCUCAGGGAGCCACCACAGCAGCCACAAAAAACGGAAGAAUAAAAACCGGCACAGCCCGUCUGGCAUGUUUGAUUAUGACUUUGAGUAUGUAUAUUAGGUUAGGCUGGGAAGUUUUUUUUAAAAACAGAAAAACGUGAUGGAGGAUUGAUCUGAAGUUAAACAAAAAGCCCCGAGCUGACUAUUAGAAGACUUGCUAGCAGAAGCUUCCAGGCUGUGAAGCCCUGCUUCCCCUCUGACCUCACAGCGACAAAUGUCCCUCGCCUGACUGUGGCCAUCUGCCUCUGCCCCCCAGACCCAGUGCCUGUGACUGGCUAGUCUGUCCUAACUGUAGUGACAAGUCCUCCCUAUAAGACUUUGGGUCAUUUGCUGUCGUCAUCGUUAGUAGAACAGCAGGAAGACCUGUCCUCAGUUCCAGUCCCUGCGGGUGGCUAACUGUGCAUUUCUCCCUUCUUAGAAUGAAUGUCUCCCCCCAAACUGGCUGGCACCAGCUCCAUCUGUGACCCCCCUCCCCAAUCGAGAAGUGCACACACCUCUGAUUCUGUGUUACGCUGAAAGUAGAACCCAAGGCCCAUUGCAGAUGGAGGCUGUAAAUAUCUGCCAUUCUCUUGUUUUGUUUUGUGUCGUAUUGUUUUUUUAUUGUUGUUUUUACCAUCUGAUUUUCUUUUGGGACAUUUUGUGAUGCCUGUACCUUCCUGAUGACACAUCUGAUCGUCUGUUUCAUGUGGUGUCGAUAUUCAUAACUGAAACUAAAGUGGCUUUUAGAAGGAAAUGGG